rnacentral:rRNA from 1 species
AAAUUGAAGAGUUUGAUCAUGGCUCAGAUUGAACGCUGGCGGCAGGCCUAACACAUGCAAGUCGAACGGUAACAGGAAGCAGCUUGCUGCUUUGCUGACGAGUGGCGGACGGGUGAGUAAUGUCUGGGAAACUGCCUGAUGGAGGGGGAUAACUACUGGAAACGGUGGCGC